rnacentral:rRNA from 1 species
GUGGAUUAGAUACCCGGGUAGUCCACGCCGUAAACGAUGUUCACUAGGUGUUGGGGGUAUUGACCCCCUCAGUGCCGGAGCUAACGCAUUAAGUGAACCGCCUGGGGAGUACGGUCGCAAGACUAAAACUCAAAGGAAUUGACGGGGGCCCGCACAAGCGGUGGAGCAUGUGGUUUAAUUCGAUGCAACGCGAAGAACCUUACCUGGGCUUGACAUCUGGGGAAUCCCCUGGAAACAGGGGAGUGCCUUUCGGGGAGCCCCAAGACAGGUGCUGCACGGUCGUCGUCAGCU